UAGUCAUGAGACUAAAACGUAUCCAAGCACCCUCUAAGAGCUUUCGCCCUGCCAGGCUUGAGAGCUAAUGCUGCCAAUUCCUUCCUUGGAUGUCUGAGCCA
rnacentral:snoRNA from 16 species